GGGCGCCCAACCAAGAGAGUGAGAAAGGAUUGCCACACUCAAUUUAGUGCAUCCAUGUUCAAAACGUGUUUCAUCAUCCUCUAACCAGAGCAGUCACCUCCGUCGCGUUGGAAAUCACCUCUGGAGGCGACGGAGGGCAAAGUGCCUCCAAUAAUAUAUCAGAGCCUUCGUCUUCUCCUCCUCUACCUUAAUCCAAACUCCAUUUUCCCAAUUGAUUCUCAAAACUCCAAAUCGAGCCUAAAUGUAAGAAACCUAGAUUACUAAAUCUGAAAUUAAACACGAAUCUCAAACAAUCUCAACCUUAGGACUUAGGGCUAACACUUUUCUAUGUCAAUUCCAUCAUCUAGUAAUGAGAAACAGGAUAAAAAAAAGUAUUUCAAAAGUGGAGCACCAAUCUUUAGAGCUGUGAAUCGCUCAGGUCAAGCUUGAGAUUCUUGAAGAUUAAGAUGAUACAUAAUCCAGAGAAUCGGGGUCCUUGGUGGCACUUGUUAUUGUGACUAUUGUUCUUGAGGUGGCUAUGCAAUGUGGAGGUUCUAAUCCUAAUUUGGUUCUGCAUGAUGCAUUUGGUAGCUAGUAUUGUAGUCACUUGGCUUGGUUAUGGUGGUUUGCAUUCAUUCUGACUUUGAGCUUGGUUUAAGCAGUAUGGAAUCAUGGUUUUUGCUUUUGCAAUUCUGACUUGGCCUAUAGUGUAUUUUGCAAUCUUGUGUUUAGUUCCAUUGCCUAAUGACCUGGUUUAUUUUGCAGCAGGUCUCUUGUAAGUCAUGUGCACAUGGUAAUGGUGGUUGAAUAGUGCAACAUGAUGACAUCAAGAUUGGAAUCUGGAGCAUCAUGUACACAUGGCAAACUCAAGGAUCAAGGAUAAAAAAUUGGCCUUAGGAUUAGAAUUAAUUUGGACUUAGGGUUUUUGGAUGAAAAGGGGUUGAGUUGACUUUGGUCAACGUUGACCAAAAAGUCAAUUGUUGACCAAAGUCAACAAUUUGUCAACAUGUUUUUUGGGGUAUUUUUUACAUGUAAUGAACAUUAUAUGAUUAUGUAAUGAAUGGAAUUUACUAUUUUGAAUGAAAUUGGGUUGGUUUUUGAA